rnacentral:rRNA from 1 species
UACGGGGGGAGCAAACGUUGUUCGGAAUCACUGGGCGUAAAGGGAGCGUAGGCGGCCAUGUAAGUGAGGUGUUAAAUCCCCCGGCUCAACCGGGGACCUGCACCUCAUACUGCACGGCUUGAGUACAUCAGAGGAGACUGGAAUUCCCGGUGUAGCGGUGAAAUGCGUAGAUAUCGGGAGGAACAUCUGUGGCGAAGGCGACACCCUGGACCAGCACUGACACUGAGGCACGAAAGCGUGGGGAGCAAACAGG